rnacentral:rRNA from 1 species
AUUGAACGCUGGCGGCAGGCCUAACACAUGCAAGUCGAGCGAGCGGCGGACGGGUGAGUAAUGUAUGGGGACUGCCCGAUAGAGGGGGAUAACUACUGGAAACGGUAGCUAAUACCGCAUACUAUCGGAUAACCCAUAUGGGAUUGGCUAGUAGGUGAGGUAAUGGCUCACCUAGGCGACGCUCCCUAGCGGGUCUGAGAGGAUGAUCAGCCACCCGGGGACUGAGACACGGCCCAGACUCCUACGGAGGCAGCAGUGGGGAAUAUUGGAAAAUGGGCGCAAGCCUGAUGCAGCCAUGCCGCGUGGAUGAGGAAGGCCCUAGGGUUGUAAAGUACUUUCAGUCGGGAGGGGUUACCGACAGAAGAAGCACCGGCUAACUACGUGCCAGCAGCCGCGGUAAUAC